CAGCCGCCACGGUAACACGGAGGGUGCAAGCGUUAAUCGGAAUUACUGGGCGUAAAGCGCACGCAGGCGGUCUGACAAGUCAGAUGUGAAAUCCCCGGGCUUAACCUGGGAACUGCAUUUGAAACUGUCAGGCUGGAGUCUUGUAGAGGGGGGUGGAAUUCCAGGUGUAGCGGUGAAAUGCGUAGAGAUCUGGAGGAAUACCGGUGGCGAAGGCGGCCCCCUGGACAAAGACUGACGCUCAGGUGCGAAAGCGUGGGGAGCAAACAGGAUUAGAUACCCGUGUAGUCCCUGUCUCUUAUAC
rnacentral:rRNA from 1 species